UACGUAGGGUGCGAGCGUUGUCCGGAAUUAUUGGGCGUAAAGGGCUCGUAGGCGGUUUGUCGCGUCGGGGAGUGAAAACCCAGGGCUUAACCCUGGGCUGGCUUUCGAUACGGGCAGACUAGAGGUAUGCAGGGGAGACUGGAAUUCCUGGUGUAGCGGUGAAAUGCGCAGAUAUCAGGAGGAACACCGGUGGCGAAGGCGGGUCUCUGGGCAACAACGUGACGCUGAGGAGCGAAAGCGUGGGGAGCGAACAGG
rnacentral:rRNA from 1 species